rnacentral:rRNA from 1 species
AACCUCCGCAAUGUGAGAAAUCGCGACGGGGGGAUCCCAAGUGCCAUUCUUAACGGGAUGGCUUUUCUUAAGUGUAAAAAGCUUUUGGAAUAAGAGCUGGGCAAGACCGGUGCCAGCCGCCGCGGUAACACCGGCAGCUCUAGUGGUAGCUGUUUUUAUUGGGCCUAAAGCGUUCGUAGCCGGUUUGAUAAGUCACUGGUGAAAUCCUGUAGCUUAACUGUGGGAAUUGCUGGUGAUACUGUUGAACUUGAGGUCGGGAGAGGUUAGCGGUACUCCCAGGGUAGAGGUGAAAUUCUGUAAUCCUGGGAGGACCGCCUGUUGCGAAGGCGUCUAACUGGAACGGUUCUGACGGUGAGGGACGAAAGUUAGGGGCGCGAACCGGAUUAGAUACCCGGGUAGUCCUAACUGUAAACGAUGCGGACUUGGUGUUGGGGUGGCUUUGAGCUGCUUCAGUGCCGAAGGGAAGCUGUUAAGUCCGCCGCCUGGGAAGUACGGUCGCAAGACUGAAACUUAAAGGAAGU